UUCCGGUGUUGGUCGCUGCCGCUGCUUGCAAUGAGCAAGCGGAAGGUGCUGCAGGAGAGCCUCAACCAGGGCAUCGCAGACUUCUUCAUGGAGCUAGCGAAUUACGAGCGCGACGUGAACCGAGCCAUCCAUAAGUACGACGCGUACAGAUACGGCCUCCUUCCUCAGGGCUGCUUUUUUCACUUCCCCGCCGGAGCGCCCCGCUCCCGUCUCUCGGGGGCCCGGCCCUGGCUCGCCGCAGGGCUGAGCACGCUGCUCGGUUCUGGACGCUGACCGACGCCGGGGAAAACGGCCUCUGUCGUUUCCCGGUACCCCAGCAGAAUACGGAGUGGAGCCGAAGCUAAGAAACUGGAUGGAGUAGAUGCUAAAAUAGCUGAGAAAAUAGAUGAGUUUUUAUCUACCGGACAGCUUCGCAAAUUGGAAAAGAUUCGACAAGAUGAUACAAGUGCUUCCAUCAACUUCCUGACAUGAGUUACUGGCAUUGGGUAAAGCUUAGUUAUUAGUGGUGGGGGGGAAGUAGUUGUCAGAAUUGUAAGAACUGCCAGUUAUAGAUUUUGCAGUAGAGGAGUGGAAGUAGAAAGCUCCUGUGUGCAAGCUGAGAGGGGAAGGAGAGGGGUAGGUGAUCAAAAACUGAAUCAAAAGAUUGAGAAAAGUAGAAUCAAGAAGGCAGAGUAGGAGCCUAUGAGUCUUAUGUGCAAAAUCUGAUUAGGGAGAGUAGUAUUUGCAUCAUGUUUGUAAAAGGAAAUCCAGAGCCCUGCCAACCCUCAAAAACAGGGCUUUUCAGAAAGAUCAUAUUAGGAGGUCUAAUUCUCUCAAGGCCUGUUCUCAUUCCUAUUCUGUGCACUGGGAAAUUUUGGCAGAAAAGAGCUCAGUUUACAGACAGGCACUUAACUUAGCAUGUGCAUAGCUGCAGAAUUCAAUAUCUUGAGUGAGAAGGGCUGUGAUACUGCUCACCAAGAACAGGAUAGGCUAAAUAUAGAACACUUGUGCUUAAAAUCAGAACAGAGUGGAAUGCUGUGGGGAAGAAGAGGGGAAAAGCAAUUGUCACAGAAUUAUCCGAGUCUGUGACAAAGGGCAAAAAGCCCUGGAAAACAAACAAAACAAAACCAAAAAAAACGAGAGAGGGGAAAACUACCCUCCCUCUUUUCUUUCAGCUUAGCUACCUAGACCUGAGGCAGGCCCUGCACUUAGGGAGAGGAAGAGAGGAGGAGAGGGGAUGGGUAGAAAGAUAGCAGAUAGGUCUAAAAAAAAAAAAAAAAAAAA